AGUUGGUGUAGUUUAUUGUAAAACAGUGUUUUUGUAAUGCACAAAAGGAUUUUAGCCUACCAGCUU
rnacentral:tRNA from 1 species